UACGAAGGGGGCUAGCGUUGUUCGGAAUCACUGGGCGUAAAGGGCGCGUAGGCGGCUUUAUAAGUCGGGGGUGAAAGCCUGUGGCUCAACCACAGAAUUGCCUUCGAUACUGUAGAGCUUGAGACCGGAAGAGGUAAGUGGAACUGCGAGUGUAGAGGUGAAAUUCGUAGAUAUUAGCUAGAACACCAGUGGCGAAGGCGGCCAACUGGUCCGGAACUGACGCUGAGGUGCGAAAGCGUGGGGAGCAAACAGG
rnacentral:rRNA from 1 species